AUGCUGCGGCACGGUGGAGAGGCGCUGAUCCAGCAAGAACUUCAGGCUGUAGUGGUCCGUGCGCACACGGAAUGUCCGGCCCCAAAGAUAAGGCCGCCAGUGGCGCACUGCCUGGACCAGCCCGAUCAGCUCACGCUCAUACGCGGCGAGCUUGUGAUGACGCGCGGCGAAGGGACGGUUGAAGAAGGCCAGCGGCCCCUCGCCCUGGUGGAGGACGGCGCCGCAGCCGAUGCCGGAGGCGUCGCAGUCCACCAUGAACGGCACGUCGAAGUCCGGCAUCUGGAGGACGGGGCCCGUCGUGAGCGCCCGCUAUAG
rnacentral:rRNA from 1 species